UCUCCGUAGGUGAACCUGCGGAGGGAUCAUUACCGAGCUCAUGCCCUUAUGGGUAGAUCUCCCACCCUGUGUUAUUAUUACCUUUGUUGCUUUGGCGGGCCGCCAGGCUCCGGUCAGGCUAUCGGCUUCGGCUGGUAAGCGCCCGCCAGAGGACCCUAUAUCCUGAUUAUUAGUGUCGUCUGAGUACUAUAUAAUAGUUAAAACUUUCAACAACGGAUCUCUUGGUUCUG
rnacentral:misc_RNA from 1 species